rnacentral:misc_RNA from 1 species
GCUUCGUCUUCGCCAACAAUAUUAUCAAAUUCAUCGAUCAAAGUAUGCGGUUGCAAAAUUCCUUUUCCUUGAUCCACAUACCUGCAAAGGAGGGAAACGAGCUCGUUACGGUGAGCAGAGAGAGUAUCUUCUACGCGCUCUCUCAUGCUUGGGAUUCGACCUAACUUGGGAUUUGCCAUGAUCGAAGUGUAAGCAAAAAUAAGAGAAGCCAGUAAGCUUUCUGUGGCAGUGG